GGUGGCGUUUGCGUCCCUUCCUCCUCCCAGCCAGCUCCCGCUCCUCCCCCGGCCGCUCGGCGCCCUCCCUCCCCGAGCCGCCGCGUCUUUCCAACCGCCCGCAGACUCACGGGCCAUGCUGUCCACCGGCCGGAGACUGGAAGACAGCGACCUGGAGAAGCAAACGGCGGCUUUGCACGCUCCGCAGCCGUCGCCGCCGGGCGCUGAAGAAGGCUGAGCCCCGCAAGGGCCCUUGGUGUGGCGACGCCUCGCUCGGCCAGCCAGCCGCCCCGCCCACCGACCCACAACAGCCGCGGCGUGGCCGGUGAGCCACUGCGCGUGCGCGGUCCCGGUGCCCCACCGCCCCGCGCGUCCCAUGUCAGCGAGGCGACCACGCGCGCACUCGCCUCCUUACCUAGCAGCCACCCUGAAGGUGGGCUUUACGUUCCUCAUCUGGCAGAAAAGACCUAACAAGGACAGAUGGGUGGAUUUCGCCCGGGCUCCAAGCCUGCUCAUUGCACCUUUCUCCUGGUGCCCUCUGGAUGGGCAGAACUUUAGCUCUAAGCUCAGGCUCUGUGGUUGAACGGGAGCCAAAAUCGCCCAGAAUAACUUUAUAACCUACAUAAGAGCUGAAACAAGUCAGAAUGCUUGCACAGGGCUGAGGGGUGUGGCUCAUGGGGGAAGGAGAUGCUUGCCUAUCUUUAGGGACACCCUGAGUUCCACCCCCUCCCUGGGUUGCAUUUCUUGAGCUGGGACUUACUUUCUUGCCUGUCCACUAUUACAAACUGAGAUAGUCUGGACACCGAAUUUGCCUGGGUAUUUUUAAGAGUUUUAUUGUGGAAUAUUUUUAAAACAUACAAAAGUAUAGGUGAAGCUACAGUGUACUCCAACUGUACGUGUUAACAUGACCUUUACAAUUCUUAAUGUAUAGAGUCAACUAGUUUAGAGAAAAAGCAUCAAGAGACAACGGAAUGACUGGACUGAAAGUGCAGUCCUAAUAGAAACAAAUGUAUAAAAGUUGGGGUCAAAGACAGAUGCACUUAGCACUUAAAACGAGCAGAACGCAUAGAAACAAACACUUAUUAUCUAGGACUAAUUGGCUAUUCUGGGUCUUUUGUUGUUCCAUAUCAAAUUGAGGGUUUUCUUCCUAUUUAUGUGAAGAAUGAGAUGAAGAUGUUGAUUGUGAUUUCAUUGAAUCAGUUAACUGUUUUGGUAGGAAGGUCUUUUUUCACAAUAUUAAUUCUACCAAGGUAUACGCUUGGGAGGUCUUCAAAUUUGAGUAUGUUUCUUAAUCUCUUCACACAUGUAAAGUUUUCAUUAUAGAGGGUUUUUUUUAAACUCUUUUGUUAUGUAUAUUCUAAAUAUUUUAUUUUAUUUGAGAAACUGGGAAGAGGAGCGUGCCAUGAUCUCUUUCUCAGCAUGCUUGUUACUCAUAUGUAUUAAGACUGGAAAACUUUGUAAGUCAAUUAUGUAUUAUAACACUUUGCUGAAAUUACUGAAAAAUUCUAUAUUUUUUUCUAGUCAAAUUUUGGGAACAUUGGGUAUAAGAUAAUAUAAUCUUCAAUUGAAAAUAAAAUUAUAUGUAUAAAAUCUA
rnacentral:lncRNA from 1 species